UCCACCUGAGUUGCGUAUGACUACCUGCCGAACUUAAGCAUAUCAGUAAGCAGAGGAAAAGAAACUAACAAGGAUUCCCUUAGUAACGGCGAGUGAAA
rnacentral:rRNA from 1 species